rnacentral:rRNA from 1 species
UACAGAGGGGGCAAGCGUUAUUCGGAAUUAUUGGGCGUAAAGAGCUCGUAGGCGGUUUGUCGCGUCUGCCGUGAAAGUCCGGGGCUCAACUCCGGAUCUGCGGUGGGUACGGGCAGACUAGAGUGAUGUAGGGGAGACUGGAAUUCCUGGUGUAGCGGUGAAAUGCGCAGAUAUCAGGAGGAACACCGGUGGCGAAGGCGGGUCUCUGGGCCGAUACUGACGCUGAGGAGCGAAAGCGUGGGGAGCGAGCCGG